GAUGAACGCUGGCGGCGUGCCUAAUACAUGCAAGUCGAGCGAACAGAUGAGGAGCUUGCUCCUCUGACGUUAGCGGCGGACGGGUGAGUAACACGUGGAUAACCUACCUAUAAGACUGGGAUAACUUCGGGAAACCGGAGCUAAUACCGGAUAAUAUAUUGAACCGCAUGGUUCAAUAGUGAAAGACGGUUUUGCUGUCACUUAUAGAUGGAUCCGCGCCGCAUUAGCUAGUUGGUAAGGUAACGGCUUACCAAGGCAACGAUGCGUAGCCGACCUGAGAGGGUGAUCGGCCACACUGGAACUGAGACACAGUCCAGACUCCUACGGGAGGCAGCAGUAGGGAAUCUUCCGCAAUGGGCGAAAGCCUGACGGAGCAACGCCGCGUGAGUGAUGAAGGUCUUCGGAUCGUAAAACUCUUUUAUUAGGGAAGAACAAAUGUGUAAGUAACUAUGCACGUCUUGACGGUACCUAAUCAGAAAGCCACGGCUAACUACG
rnacentral:rRNA from 1 species